rnacentral:lncRNA from 10 species
CUCAGUCUCCCUGUUCCCUAAAUUGCAGUAAUUCCUCCUUGACAGGAUUGAUGUGGUGAAGCUCACUCAAUGUAGCCCCUGCAUCAGGAGAAUUCAAGCAGCACAAUAUCAGUCCUCAACCCUCUGAAAGUCUCAACAGCCCAAGACAAUGUUGGACACUUCCUUCUUCAAACUCAAUCUUCCAGGAUGGGUUUAAACACAUGGUGAUGCCACUCAAAUUGAAAUCUCCAGCCCCACCCUUCCUGAAGAGCUCCAGGCUCUGGUCAAUUUCCUAUUCAACAUCUCCACUUAGCCUUUCUAAAGGAAGCCCAAGUUCAAAUCCAUCUUUCUUGCUGCUGCAUCCCAGAUCUCCCACCU